ensembl:lncRNA
GUACACAAGCACACACAUUACACAGAGAGGUACACAACUCCACAUUACACAGAGAGGUACACAACUCCACAUUACACAGAGAGGUACACAACUACACACAUUACACAGAGAGGUACACAACUACACACAUUACACAGAGAGUUACACAACCAGACACACACAUUACACAGAGAGGUACACAAGCACACACAUUACACAGAGAGGUACACAAGCACACACAUUACACAAAGAUGUACACAACUACACAUACACACAUUACACAAAGAGGUACACAACUACACAUACACAUUACACAGAGAGGUACACAACCAGACACACACAUUAGACAGGGAGGUACAUAACUACAGACACAUUACACAGAGACGUAAACAACUACACAGUUACACAACACUGCAGGUUGUUAUGCACAAAACAUUACACAAUGCACACUUUUACACCACACAAGGGAAUAAAAUGUGUUUGUG